rnacentral:rRNA from 1 species
GGGUUGUGAGGUUAAGCGACUAAGCGUACACGGUGGAUGCCCUGGCAGUCAGAGGCGAUGAAGGACGUGCUAAUCUGCGAUAAGCGCCGGUAAGGUGAUAUGAACCGUUAUAACCGGCGAUUUCCGAAUGGGGAAACCCAGUGUGAUUCGUCACACUAUCAUUAACUGAAUCCAUAGGUUAAUGAGGCGAACCGGGGGAACUGAAACAUCUAAGUACCCCGAGGAAAAGAAAUCAACCGAGAUUCCCCCAGUAGCGGCGAGCGAACGGGGAGGAGCCCAGAGCCUGAAUCAGCAUGUGUGUUAGUGGAAGCGUCUGGAAAGGCGCGCGAUACAGGGUGACAGCCCCGUACACAAAAGCGCAUGUGCUGUGAGCUCGAUGAGUAGGGCGGGACACGUGGUAUCCUGUCUGAAUAUGGGGGGACCAUCCUCCAAGGCUAAAUACUCCUGACUGACCGAUAGUGAACCAGUACCGUGAGGGAAAGGCGAAAAGAACCCCGGCGAGGGGAGUGAAAAAGAACCUGAAACCGUGUACGUACAAGCAGUGGGAGCCCCACCACUAAGCCAGUGGUGAACUCCACAUCCGCAUCCUUUGCUGAGGAUACGGUUAACGGAGCGAAAGCGACGUUCAACCGCAAAACAAGCAGAGGGGGCUUAGUGGUGGGGUGACUGCGUACCUUUUGUAUAAUGGGUCAGCGACUUAUAUUCUGUAGCAAGGUUAACCGUAUAGGGGAGCCGGAGGGAAACCGAGUCUUAAUUGGGCGUUAAGUUGCAGGGUAUAGACCCGAAACCCGGUGAUCUAGCCAUGGGCAGGUUGAAGGUUGGGUAACACUAACUGGAGGACCGAACCGACUAAUGUUGAAAAAUUAGCGGAUGACCUGUGGCUGGGGGUGAAAGGCCAAUCAAACCGGGAGAUAGCUGGUUCUCCCCGAAAGCUAUUUAGGUAGCGCCUCGUGAAUUCAUCUCCGGGGGUAGAGCACUGUUUCGGCUAGGGGGCCAUCCCGGCUUACCAACCCGAUGCAAACUGCGAAUACCGGAGAAUGUUAUCACGGGAGACACACGGCGGGUGCUAACGUCCGUCGUGAAGAGGGAAACAACCCAGACCGCCAGCUAAGGUCCCAAAGUCAUGGUUAAGUGGGAAACGAUGUGGGAAGGCCCAGACAGCCAGGAUGUUGGCUUAGAAGCAGCCAUCAUUUAAAGAAAGCGUAAUAGCUCACUGGUCGAGUCGGCCUGCGCGGAAGAUGUAACGGGGCUAAACCAUGCACCGAAGCUGCGGCAGCGACGCUGAUGCGUUGUUGGGUAGGGGAGCGUUCUGUAAGCCUGCGAAGGUGACCUGUGAGGGUUGCUGGAGGUAUCAGAAGUGCGAAUGCUGACAUAAGUAACGAUAAAGCGGGUGAAAAGCCCGCUCGCCGGAAGACCAAGGGUUCCUGUCCAACGUUAAUCGGGGCAGGGUGAGUCGACCCCUAAGGCGAGGCCGAAAGGCGUAGUCGAUGGGAAACGGGUUAAUAUUCCCGUACUUGGUGUUACUGCGAAGGGGGGACGGAGAAGGCUAUGUUGGCCGGGCGACGGUUGUCCCGGUUUAAGCGUGUAGGUGUGUGUUCCAGGUAAAUCCGGUUCACUUUAACACUGAGGCGUGACGACGAGGCACUACGGUGCUGAAGCAACAAAUGCCCUGCUUCCAGGAAAAGCCUCUAAGCAUCAGGUAACACGAAAUCGUACCCCAAACCGACACAGGUGGUCAGGUAGAGAAUACCAAGGCGCUUGAGAGAACUCGGGUGAAGGAACUAGGCAAAAUGGUGCCGUAACUUCGGGAGAAGGCACGCUGACACGUAGGUGAAGUGAUUUACUCAUGGAGCUGAAGUCAGUCGAAGAUACCAGCUGGCUGCAACUGUUUAUUAAAAACACAGCACUGUGCAAACACGAAAGUGGACGUAUACGGUGUGACGCCUGCCCGGUGCCGGAAGGUUAAUUGAUGGGGUCAGCGUAAGCGAAGCUCCUGAUCGAAGCCCCGGUAAACGGCGGCCGUAACUAUAACGGUCCUAAGGUAGCGAAAUUCCUUGUCGGGUAAGUUCCGACCUGCACGAAUGGCGUAAUGAUGGCCAGGCUGUCUCCACCCGAGACUCAGUGAAAUUGAACUCGCUGUGAAGAUGCAGUGUACCCGCGGCAAGACGGAAAGACCCCGUGAACCUUUACUAUAGCUUGACACUGAACAUUGAGCCUUGAUGUGUAGGAUAGGUGGGAGGCUUUGAAGUGUGGACGCCAGUCUGCAUGGAGCCGACCUUGAAAUACCACCCUUUAAUGUUUGAUGUUCUAACGUGGACCCGUAAUCCGGGUUGCGGACAGUGUCUGGUGGGUAGUUUGACUGGGGCGGUCUCCUCCUAAAGAGUAACGGAGGAGCACGAAGGUUGGCUAAUCCUGGUCGGACAUCAGGAGGUUAGUGCAAUGGCAUAAGCCAGCUUGACUGCGAGCGUGACGGCGCGAGCAGGUGCGAAAGCAGGUCAUAGUGAUCCGGUGGUUCUGAAUGGAAGGGCCAUCGCUCAACGGAUAAAAGGUACUCCGGGGAUAACAGGCUGAUACCGCCCAAGAGUUCAUAUCGACGGCGGUGUUUGGCACCUCGAUGUCGGCUCAUCACAUCCUGGGGCUGAAGUAGGUCCCAAGGGUAUGGCUGUUCGCCAUUUAAAGUGGUACGCGAGCUGGGUUUAGAACGUCGUGAGACAGUUCGGUCCCUAUCUGCCGUGGGCGCUGGAGAACUGAGGGGGGCUGCUCCUAGUACGAGAGGACCGGAGUGGACGCAUCACUGGUGUUCGGGUUGUCAUGCCAAUGGCACUGCCCGGUAGCUAAAUGCGGAAGAGAUAAGUGCUGAAAGCAUCUAAGCACGAAACUUGCCCCGAGAUGAGUUCUCCCUGAGACUUAGAGUCUCCUGAAGGAACGUUGAAGACGACGACGUUGAUAGGCCGGGUGUGUAAGCGCAGCGAUGCGUUGAGCUAACCGGUACUAAUGAACCGUGAGGCUUAACCUUACAACGCCGAAG